AUUUCAAACAUUUUGUAAAGAAAAAAAAAGGAGGGGGCCUUAUAUUCUCUGGGCAAAGUCCAGAUACCGGCCAAAGGGCCGCCGUGUCUCCAUCGCACCUCCGCCGGUAGCCGGCGCCAUUGCCGCCAUAUGCGGCCGCCGGAGAGUUAAAAAAAGUUCCCUUCUUCGGCCGAUCUAAAAGCAGGUAUUUUUUUCCUUUCUUUUUUACUCUAUUUGUAUAUAUAUAUGUAUAUGCCGUGUAUAAAAAAACUUGUAAAUAGGUUAGUGUUUUCGAAAUAUAAAAGAAGGAAACCUUGGAUCUGCUUCUGCUUUCGCUUUUUCUGCUUGAAUCUAUCUCUUUUUCUUUGUAUUUCUAAGUGACGUUUUACAAAGGAAAAUCGGGGAAGCAGAACCCCUAAAACCGAUAUCCAAAUUCGGCUUUUAUACAUUUAUUUGCUAGUACUGUCGUUUCUUCUUAAUUGUUUGCAGGCACUCGAUGGCGCCAGUGGAGAGGCGGUGGUGGCAGAGGACGUGACAGAGGCGGUGGGUUGGUGGCAGCAGUCAAGUGGAGGCUGCAGUCAAGUGGGGCACUAGGGUUUCAGAGACUGAAACCCUAGUCUGACUCCUUGUUGGGUCUGGGGAAUUGGGCUUCUUGGGCCUUUUAUUUGUAAUGGGCCCGUAACAAAAAGCGUUUUCCAUUAUUUAGAUCCAAAGAAAUUGAAACCAAAUGCGUUAAGGAUCAAUUUUCUCGAAUAUAAACAUAAAAUUUUACUUGUUUGAAAGUCGAAACUUAUGCGUCGAGAUAAAUUAAUCUAAUUUGAAAUAGUAUAAAUGAAACACGAGGUUAAUAUGCGUACAAAGCAAUACUGAAUACGAUAGCAUAAAAGUAAUACAAGUAAUAAAAAUGAACGAAUAAAAGGGACAAUUUAAUAACAUGUAAAAUAGCAAGCAUAAGCAAAUAAAAUUAAAAUGUUCUUUUAAAAUAAAAAUAAAUAAAUAAAAGAUAUGAAUAAAAUUUAUAGAAAUAUAAAGUAUAUAUAUAGGUAUCAAAAUUAUGAAGUACAAAAUAUGUAUGUGGAUAUAUAUAUACGUUUUAAAAUUAUACAAUAUAACAAAAAUAUAUGUGUAUAUAUGUAAAUUAUAAAAUAUAUGUACAUAUAAGUAUUAUAAAAAUGUAUAGAUGUAUGCAUAUAUUUUAAGACUAUAAAAUAUAUGGAAGAAUAUAUGUAUGUAUACGUAGUUUUAAGUUACAAAAUAUAUGUAAGAAAAAUGUAGGUGUGUAUGAAUUAUAAUAUAUAUAUAUAUGUGUAUUAUAUUAGAUUUACAUAGAAAACACAUAAGAAGAUUUAUGAUGAAAUUAAAUAUUAAUAUAUGAAGAAACUUAAUAUAAUAAUGCAUAAUAAAUUUAUAAUGCUGAUAAUAAUACCUUAUGAUUUUAAAACAGAAUAAUAAUAAUAAUGAUAGUAAUAAUAAUAAUAUUUUGAAAAUAUAAAUGGGUAUAAAUAAAUAAUGAAAUGAUAUUAUAAGAUAAUAAUAUUAAAAAUCCACAUAAGUAAACAAAUACCAAUGCAAACGUAAUUAAUGUAACAAUGAAUAAAAGAAUAAUGACAGUUAAUAAGCUAAGGUUUUAUAAUUAUAAAUGAAAUAGAUAAUAAAAUAAAAUAUAUUAAAGUAUUUAAAUGUAUGAGUAAAAGAUGCAAUAGAAGUGAUGUAAAAUUGAUUAAUUAGCAAUGUGAAAACAAUAAUAAAAGGGUAAAAUAAUAAAGAUAGCAAGAAUAAUAUGAAAUCAAUUAAUUUAACAAUAAAAUAACUAAAAUAACAAAAAGAAGGAUUAAAUUGAACUUAAGGAUGAAAUUUCGGGGCAAAUUAGUAAUAAUAAAUAAAAGGAAGGACUACCCUGAACGUGCGAAUAAUAUGGAGGGACUGAAAGGGAAAUUUUCCCUUCUCCUCCAAAACGACGUCGUUCGAAUAGCGACUGAACUGAAAUCGCAGAAAAUUAUGGGGUAAAUUUAAAGAAAUAUAAAACUUGAUUAAAAAAUGUUAACAAAGCGGAAGGACUAGGGUAGUAAUUAUACCCUAGUCACAAAACACGCGGAUCCUCCUGGUAAUGGGUUGGGUCACGCAAAACGGUGCCAUUUUGGCGCUGAGACCCCUAGGUGAAACGGUGCCGUUUUAAAUGCUAUAAAAACUAAAAAAAAACUUAAAUUUCAUUCUAAUCAGCUUCAAAAAUAAAUAAAUAAAAACAGACAAACACUCUCUGCCUUUCCCCUCAGCCAUUCGAAUUCGACCUAGGGUUCCGCCCUCCGUCCACCGUGCAACUGCCAUGGUUGCGGCCGACGAGGAAAAGAAAUGGGCUUUUGGCCCUUAUCUCGCAGUGCCGUUUGAGGGUCAAACCCUCUAGACGGCCAAAACAGAGGAGAACCCCAGCCUCCUUUCAAAUCCGAUCCUAACGGCGAUGGAGACUCCCCUCUCUUCGAUGAUGUGAUCACGAAAGUUCACCGGUGAGUCCCUUUUGCCUUUGUUAUUUUCUAUUUAAUAUAAAAAAAUAAAAUGAAAAAGAAACGCGAAUCUGAGAUAAAAAAAUCACCUUUUUGUUUUUUAUUACUCAAUCUCGUGAAAAAGAAAAGGGCCCCCCUUUUACAGUGUAUUUGGCUUUUGCCGAAAGAAAAGAAGAAAAAACCUAAAAGAAAAAUCCCCCCUAUUUUUACAAUGUAUUUCAGCUUUUGUAGCCCUUAUUCUUGCUGUUGGUACUGAUUUUGACUUGUUUGCAGGUGUAAGUUGCGGUGAUUGAAGCAAGUAGCAAAGUUGGUGGCUGCCAGAGGAGUGAUGUGAUGGAAGCGUGUGAGGCGUGCGGCGCAAGGGUGGUGGCAGAG
rnacentral:lncRNA from 1 species